GUGAGGAAAGUUUAAUGAAGGGUCUGUUUACACAGUCAGCUCAGGUGGUGGCAGCAGGGAAGGAGGUGCGCUUGGAGCCAGGCAGCCCCGGAGGCACCACUUUCCAGCUGGGGGUCACUCAACUUUCAGGAAGCCCAGGGUCCUCCUCUGGCAGUGGUGACGGCCCCGGCCUCCAGGAGCGGCCGCAAGGAUUCAGAGCUGAUAAGACUGACAGCUCGGGUCGUGUUGUGUAAGCUGGCUUCGGUGCCUGACGAGAAUCCCAACGCCACCACCUCCUUGGGCCACUCAUCUGACCUCACCAGGCCUCUGUUUCCUAUCUGCAAAAUGGGAACACUGAGUUCACAGGGCUGUGAGUCCC
rnacentral:lncRNA from 1 species